rnacentral:sRNA from 12 species
CGUCACUGUCGCACUUAAAGGUGCAAGACAGACCGGGAAACCAAAGCCCGGACCGGAACACCAACAAGCACCGGCCAGCGAGAACGCAGAUCGGUCAUACAAAAAAUUUCGGAUGUACGCGCAGAGCAGGAGGCUCUGCGAAAUCCC